AUACAAAGGCUUGGCUUAUACUGCAAAGUUUGGGAUCCACAGUCUACAAAACCCCACAGCUCCUGAGAAUUCUCUCGCCUGCUUUCGACCCUUAGGCUCUGGUAGAUUGCAAAUAACCUGCUUUCUUUCUGUUCCCGGGCGGCGUGGGACCCCUGUCGGAUAGUCAAUCCCAAUUAAGGUACCCGCCGUCGGCAGAUUUGAGCUUUCUUCUUGGACACCUAAUACCCACAGUCCUCCAGGAUAACUUCAGGAAGUGGGUAUUAAUUCUCACUGUAUAAGUGAAGACAUUAAGCACCAGAGUUUAAGUAGCUUGGUAAGUGUUAUUCCAGUAAUUAAAUAGGCAUAAAUAGAGUUCAACUUUCUCAGUUCUAUCUAUAAUUUCUCUCUAUGUAUGGGCUUAUUUAUAUCAACCAGUAUACACCUUGGUUUUGG
rnacentral:lncRNA from 10 species